AUUAACAUUUCUGAAAAAUCAAAAAAUACAGCUGCUUGUUGGAGGAACACAGCAUGAAGGAAGGCUAUGUUCCAGUUCUUGUUCACCCUGUGCAAGUGGGCUCUCUCGGCUGGUUGUCAUCAGCUCUCUAGCAGCUGUGGUUCUGAUGGCUGUGCUUGGGUACUAUUUUCUGAGGCGGAGGAGGCAGCAGCCGACACCAGACACUGUAGAGAAUUAAGACAUUGCCAAUGCAAGUAUCGAUGUUUCAAAGACAGCAGGGUGGCACAGAAAGGAGAAGGAGGGGGUGCAGUAUGAUGAGGACAACGUGAGGGUCCAGCCGGAGGAGGUGCAGUAUGGACAGAUUCAGGUGCUGGAACAGUCUGGAAGGAUAGACAAGCCAAACGUGGAAGAAACCAUUUAUGCUGGUAUACAGCUUGGACAGUGAGGUUGAAUACAUUUGACUUCACAUAUGUAUGUGGAAAUUAUGCAUUUUAUUCUAUGUAUAUGUAAAAAGAAAUAAAACAACAUCUGUUUAUGUCGGUUUUAUGGUGUUCUUUGCAAAAAAUAUAAUUUCACGUUUAAUUGUAUUAAGUAAUUAAAUACAGUGCAUUAUUUAUAUUGGUUUUGUAUGUCUGUAGGCUACUUCUGCCCAACUGUAAAAUCAAUCAAUCAAUAAAAAGC